rnacentral:rRNA from 1 species
CACGUAGGGUGCGAGCGUUGUCCGGAAUUAUUGGGCGUAAAGAGCUCGUAGGCGGUGUGUCGCGUCGGCCGUGAAAACCUGCAGCUUAACUGUGGGCUUGCGGUCGAUACGGGCAUCACUGGAGUUCGGCAGGGGAGACUGGAAUUCCUGGUGUAGCGGUGAAAUGCGCAGAUAUCAGGAGGAACACCGGUGGCGAAGGCGGUGGUCUGGGCCGGCACUGACGCUGAGGAGCGAAAGCGUGGGUAGCAAACAGG